GGGCCCGCACAAGCAGUGGAUUAUGUGGUUUAAUUCGACGCAACGCGAAGAACCUUACCAGGACUUGACAUCCAACUAACGAAGUAGAGAUACAUUAGGUGCCCUUCGGGGAAAGUUGAGACAGGUGGUGCAUGGUUGUCGUCAGCUCGUGUCGUGAGAUGUUGGGUUAAGUCCCGCAACGAGCGCAACCCCUAUUGUUAGUUGCUACGCAAGAGCACUCUAGCGAGACUGCCGUUGACAAAACGGAGGAAGGCGGGGACGACGUCAAAUCAUCAUGCCCCUUAUGUCCUGGGCUACACACGUAAUACAAUGGCCGUCAACAAUGGGAAGCAAAACCGCGAGGUAGAGCAAAUCCCCAAAAACGGUCUCAGUUCGGAUUGCAGGCUGCAACUCGCCUGCAUGAAGCUGGAAUUGCUAGUAAUCGUGGAUCAGCAUGCCACGGUGAAUACGUUCCCGGGCCUU
rnacentral:rRNA from 1 species